rnacentral:rRNA from 1 species
UACAGAGGGGGCGAGCGUUGUUCGGAAUUACUGGGCGUAAAGGGCGCGUAGGCGGCCAACUAAGUCAGACGUGAAAUCCCUCGGCUCAACCGGGGAACUGCGUCUGAUACUGGAUGGCUUGAAUUCGGGAGAGGGAUGCGGAAUUCCAGGUGUAGCGGUGAAAUGCGUAGAUAUCGGGAGGAACACCAGUGGCGAAGGCGACUUCCUGGCCUGUUCUUGACGCCGAGGCGCGAAAGCUAGGGUAGCAAACGGG